AAAACAUAAGAUCUUUCAUCAGGUUUGCACAGUUGGGUAUUUUAUCCUUUCUCUACAGCAUAUAGCAGGGGCUUAGGUAAAGCAGGCUGGAUGGUCCUUCUAAUUCACGGGGGGUUAGUUUAGUUUGACUCUGAAAACACAAUAUCUUGGCUGAAGAGCUGCAUUUCUGGUGGCUGUGCAGUGUGCUGGGUGUCCUGCCAAAUAGCUGGGGACUGCGGCGCUAUGUUGUUAAUUCCUUUCUGCCAGUGAGACAUUCCUGUUCAUCUGUUGGACAGUGUCAUAAGUCACUUAUUGGUCUUGCCUGUCGCUGGACAUAGCUGAUACGGUGUGAACUCAGGUAUAGUGUGUAUGCGAGUAGCCAUCGUGCCUUCCUAGAACCAACUUAAUUUAGCUAUUAUCCUGUAAAGAAAGAGGAAAGAAGGUUGAAUAAGCCAAAUUACAUUGGUGGGGUAAAAGAGCCAACACUUUUCCAGAUUUGAAAUGCAAUGACUUUAGAUAUUGACAACUGACAGUUGCUUCAUCAAGGCACAGAAUUUUUCAAAGUAUUUGACAAGGAAAAUACAGAUGCAACAUGAUGAAUUUUCUUGUGGAACAUUUUAAUGGAUAUGCUCAGCUUUCCCAGUGGGAUCUUACUUUCUUAGAGCAGAGAUUAGUCACCAGUUACUUGAUUUGUCUAAACUUUCUGCCAAAAUCAACAAGGAAGGAAUUGACAGGAUGGACUUUAGAAACAAGGACAUUGUGACAUGUUUGAAGAGAACGCAUGCUUAGAGGAGGGUCUACUUCUGUUUCAAAAAGCAGCUUCUUAUCAGCAAAACAACCUCUACUCUUUCCUGUAUGUGUCUUGUCUCUUCCUUGCAGCAAUGCUGAGAAGAUGUUUCAUCUUGUGGGAAGCCAAGGGAAAGCGAUUUACUAAAGGCAGAACGACUUUGCACAUGCUAUUGCAACUCCAGUCAUUCGAUUGAAUUCAGCUAAGACAAGCACUAAAACCAGCUCUGACUGUAAGGAUUUGAAGUCUUAGCAGUUACUACAGGGUCUGUUCUUCUACUGAAUCAACACAUCCUGCAGCUUCUAUGACAAAGGGAAGAAGUACAUACUGGUACAGCAGCACAGGAAAAUACUACCCUGCUCUGUGGUCAUGGGUGACAUAGGGAAAGACAUGUCAGUCUCCCAAGGCAAGUCAAUAGUGCAAAACUUCAGUCGUUGAAAAAUGCCAUUUUUUAAUACACAAAAAUCAAACUUUGCAGCGGAGAUGUGGGGCAGUGCACAGAGCAGUUGUAUCUUUCAGAAAUCUAACUGAACACAAGUAGCCAGGAGUCCAAGUACUAACUUAAACCAGCAAUGAUACCACUUCUCUCUCCGUUCUUCUCCUCACUCUUCCCUGAAACACUACAACCAAAACUGACAGCACACCACAUCUUCCCAAGCCUCAAUAUUCACUCACACAUAGAGGAGAACAUGGGAGGCUUUUUAAAAUCCCUGUGACAACUGGUACUAGAAAACUGUUUAACUACUAGUGGAAUGUCCUCUCAUAAAAUGCCAAACAGUCUUGUGUUUUUCAGGUCAAAAGCUAACAAGAUGAACUGUGAGCUCUUAUUAGUUUUCUGUUCGUCCACAGUAAAAAUAUGGAGUGCUUUAAAAAUGUGGAGAACAUGACAGUGAUUGACAACAAAAGAAGGCAUAUAAGGAGAUACUGUGCUGAAGAAAUUUUAAUUAUUUUAAUUAUUUUUGUAAAACAAAAUUCAUACUGAUAGAGGUUCUUGCAUUUGCAGUGUCAGCCAGGAGCCAGAGCUGUUUUCUCAACCAAGACCCUUACACGCUCUGCCUUACACCCUUAUGAAAGAACACCUAAUUUGGUGUCUUGCAGGAUUAUAAUGUGAAUUCCUUAGUUAAUUACUGAAGAUGCUGUUCCCCUGCCCUAUGCUCAGUGCACUGAUUUGCACGCUUAGAAGACAAAAGCAAAUUGCAGAACACAGAGAUUUGAACGUAAACCCAUUGCUAAACUUUGGCCUGGCAGCAUCAAGUUGUUCUUCUGAUCAUUCACAUUUACAGAAGGAACAGUAGGUAAAGGCACAUAUAUGCAACUGUGAAGCCUUGGAGAUCUUCUGGAGAUGGAUGCAGGCAGGGCAUUCCAGCUUGGAAGUCCCCAAGAGCAGCAUAACAAGUAUAAUCAUUAUGUCCUUCUACUUAUUCUGGCCUUGUAUAAGAUGAAGCUGUGUGUCAUACUUAAUAUUAAAUGGACUGAAAAGGUCACUUGGUUUCUCUUUAAUUC